CCCUUAGAUGUUCUGGGCUGCACGCGUGCUACAAUGGCGUUUCCAGCAAGUCUGCGAACCCGAGAGGGCCAGUGGAUCUUCGAAUUGGCGUCGUGAUCGGGACAGUCGAUUGCAAUUAUUUGACUCAAACGAGGAAUUCCUUGUAAUCGCGAUUCAUCAUAUCGCGCUGAAUACGUCCCUGCCCUUUGUACACACCGCCCGUCGCUCCUACCGAUUGAGCGAUCCGGUAAAUGUUUUGGAUUGGUGCCGGGGCGGCUAGCUGCCGGUCGCUACGAAAUUUUGUGAACCUUAUCGCUUAGAGGAAGGAAAAGUCGUAACA
rnacentral:rRNA from 1 species